rnacentral:rRNA from 1 species
CCUACGGGAGGCAGCAGUAGGGAAUAUUGGGCAAUGGAGGCAACUCUGACCCAGCCAUGCCGCGUGCAGGAUGAAGGCGUCAGCGUUGUAAACUGCUUUUAUCAGGGAAGCGGUACCUGAGGAAUAAGCACCGGCUAACUCCGUGCCAGCAGCCGCGGUAAUACGGAGGGUGCAAGCGUUGUCCGGAUUUAUUGGGUUUAAAGGGUGCGUAGGUGGUAUUCUAAGUCUGGUUUGAAAGCUGGUGGCUUAACCAUCAGAUGUGGCUGGAAACUGGAGUACUUGAAUGCGUUGGCGGUAGCCGGAACGGGUCAUGUAGCGGUGAAAUGCAUAGAUAUGACCCAGAACACCGAUUGCGAAGGCAGGCUACUACGAGGAUUGACACUGAGGCACGAGAGCAUGGGUAGCGAACAGGAUUAGAUACCCUUGUAGUC